GGGUUGUGAGGUUAAGCGACUAAGCGUACACGGUGGAUGCCCUGGCAGUCAGAGGCGAUGAAGGACGUGCUAAUCUGCGAUAAGCGUCGGUAAGGUGAUAUGAACCGUUAUAACCGGCGAUUUCCGAAUGGGGAAACCCAGUGUGUUUCGACACACUAUCAU
rnacentral:rRNA from 2 species